UGCCCCGGCAUAUACCGUCCCGACCUGGACUCCGCUCGGCGGCAUCCACUUAUCCUCAGGGAACCACUUGGCCCGGUGCCCACCACCUCCAUAGUCCUUCCUGUCCGUGAAUAUCACCACCCCGAUGGCUCCAGCCUGGCUUCGAUGCAUGAGAUCCUCGUACAGCAGCUAAGCCCGUACUUCAUUGCAUGACUCGGGCUCUAAAAGUAUCAACUACGCGAACGCUUCAACCAUCCGGCUGAGCCGAGGCUUUCUGGGCGUGUGCAAGUACAUGGCCCAAUUUUUAGUCUCGUUUACUAGUUGUGCUUGUGGGCCUUGAAUUAGAUUCAAUCAUAAAUACUUUUGAUCGGAGGUUGCUUGUUAUCUCUUGAAAAUUUUCUCAAUCAUGAAGUUUGUAAGCCGAUCUCAUCAAAUGCGGGUUCCGAGUUUGAAACACCGAGUUCACAUGGACAAUAGCAAUGCACUUAAUACACGGUGAAUCGGAGCUUUUUGUUAAACAAAUGCCUAA